rnacentral:rRNA from 1 species
GACGAACGCUGGCGGCGUGCCUAAUACAUGCAAGUUGAGCGCUGAAGGUUGGUACUUGUACCGACUGGAUGAGCAGCGAACGGGUGAGUAACGCGUGGGGAAUCUGCCUUUGAGCGGGGGACAACAUCUGGAAACGAAUGCUAAUACCGCAUAAAAACUUUAAACACAAGUUUUAAGUUUGAAAGAUGCAAUUGCAUCACUCAAAGAUGAUCCCGCGUUGUAUUAGCUAGUUGGUGAGGUAAAGGCUCACCAAGGCGAUGAUACAUAGCCGACCUGGAAUGGGGACCGGCAACAGUGGGACUGAGACACGGCCCAAACUCCUACGGGAGGCAGCAGUAGGGAAUCUUCGGCAAUGGACGAAAGUCUGACCGAGCAACGCCGCGUGAGUGAAGAAGGUUUUCGGAUCGUAAAACUCUGUUGGUAGAGAAGAACGUUGGUGAGAGUGGAAAGCUCAUCAAGUGACGGUAACUACCCAGAAAGGGACGGCUAACUACGUGCCAGCCGCCGCCGUAA